UACGAAGGGGGCUAGCGUUGUUCGGAAUUACUGGGCGUAAAGGGCGCGUAGGCGGUGUGUCAAGUCAGGCGUGAAAGCCCCGGGCUCAACCUGGGAACCGCGCUUGAGACUGGCACGCUCGAGUUCGGGAGAGGAUGGUGGAAUUCCCAGUGUAGAGGUGAAAUUCGUAGAUAUUGGGAAGAACACCGAUGGCGAAGGCAGCCAUCUGGACCGACACUGACGCUGAGGCGCGAAAGCGUAGGGAGCAAACAGG
rnacentral:rRNA from 1 species